AUUGAACGCUGGCGGAAUGCUUUACACAUGCAAGUCGAACGGCAGCACGGGGGCAACCCUGGUGGCGAGUGGCGAACGGGUGAGUAAUACAUCGGAACGUGCCCAGUCGUGGGGGAUAACGUAGCGAAAGUUACGCUAAUACCGCAUACGAUCUACGGAUGAAAGCGGGGGACCGUAAGGCCUCGCGCGAUUGGAGCGGCCGAUGUCAGAUUAGGUAGUUGGUGAGGUAAAGGCUCACCAAGCCGACGAUCUGUAGCUGGUCUGAGAGGACGACCAGCCAGGCUGGGGGUGAGACACGGCCCAUCGUCCUACGGGAGGCAGCAGUGGGGAAUGUUGGACAAUGGGCGCAAGCCUGAUCCAGCCAUUCCGCGUGCAGGACGAAGGCCUUCGGGUUGUAAACUGCUUUUGUACGGAACGAAAAGGCUCUGGUUAAUACCUGGGGCUCAUGACGGUACCGUAAGAAUAAGCACCGGCUAACUACGUGCCAGCCGCCGCGGUAA
rnacentral:rRNA from 1 species